rnacentral:rRNA from 1 species
GAUGAACGCUAGCGGCAGGCCUAAUACAUGCAAGUCGAACGGUGUCUUCGGACAUAGUGGCGCACGGGUGCGUAACACGUAUGCAACCUACCUUACAUUGGGGGAUAGCCUUUCGAAAGGGAGAUUAAUACCGCAUAAGACAGUAGCUGGGCAUCCAGCAGCUGUAAAAGACUUAUCGAUGUAAGCUGGGCAUGCGUCCAAGUAGCUAGUUGGUGAGGUAACGGCUCACCAAGGCAAUGAUUGGUAGGGGAACUAAGAGGUCAAUCCCCCACACUGGCACUGAGAUACGGGCCAGACUCCUACGGGAGGCAGCAGUAGGGAAUAUUGGGCAAUGGACGCAAGUCUGACCCAGCCAUGCCGCGUGCAGGAUGAAGGCGUUAUGCGUUGUAAACUGCUUUUAUACAGGAAGAAACGACUCUUGCGAGAGGCAUUGACGGUACUGUAUGAAUAAGCACCGGCUAACUCCGUGCCAGCAGCCGCAGUAA